GCUAUCCAGGACAUACGAGGUGUGAUAAUAUCUGGUAGAUGAUGGAGCGUUACAACUGCAAUCUGGUUAUCAGGCAGUUGUCUUUCUUUCAACGGCAGUAUUACAGCCCGCUGACAUAGUGUCAUUGCACCCGACGUGCGUCAUUCCUCCAUUUUCUGCUGCUCGCGGACAGCUGCGGAAUCCACAGCCAAGUGGCACCCUCUUCAGGUCAGCCUUCACGAAGAGCCAGCUGUAAGUUUUAAGAACCAGGCGAAUUCAGAAUUUGGGAUGUGUUAGAUUGCGAGAUGAGGGUCCUGAGGGGUGGAAACAAUAGUAUGAGAAUGCAGAUGACGCCAGGGAUCA
rnacentral:sRNA from 1 species